UUUUCUAUAAUCCAAAUCUAAGACUACUACUUCCUUCCUUCCUUCCUUUCACACACAAAAAUAAUCUAAUUUCUUCUUGUCUAGCAACAAAUAGGACCACUACCUUCUUUCAUAUUUAAUUCAUCAUUAUGAUGGCGGUUUCCUUUCUUUUCUUUUCUUUUCUUUUUUAAAAUAAUUUUUAUUUACUACUACUUCAUAAGGGAUGUCAAGACAAGACUAAUCCCAAAAGUAAUUGAGAUUCAUUCACCUCUUCUAACAAUUUUUCCUUUGAUUUUUCUAGUUUAGUGAUUACUUUUUUCUAUUUUUAUAUUAAUUAUUAAAUUUUCAAUAUUUGUAUGAUGUUAUUUAGUAAGUAUAAUAAAUCUCCAGUCAAAAUCAAUAAAUUUUAAAAGAUAUUUUUUGACUAAAUAAAUCUAUUUUUGCUGAGUAAUGAAUGGAAGUUGUAAAAGGUGAAGCAAGAGAGAGAGAGAGAUAAGGUUAAUGAUUGGAGAGGAGAGGGUGACGUGGAAGUGAGUCAAAUACAGCUAAGUGUGUGGUUUAUGUGAGUUUUGUUUGGAUCUUCAUGAUGAUCUUAACCUAACCUAACACCGUUUCUUUCUCUAAUAUACUAACGUAGUAGUUAUUAUUAUUAUUAUUAUUAUUAUUAUUAUUAUUUUUUUUUUUUAAGUUUUGAAUGCAGGUUUGGAGCGGAGCGGAUGAGACAUGUGAAAUCUGAAAGAAACAAAGACAUCGCUAAAUUCAAACAACCUCCAUAAACAAAGGAAACUUGUAUUUUUAUACGUACCACGAAACUCCCAUUCACAAUAUAAAUAUGAUUAUAGAUUUUUUUUUAUUUAAAACAAUGAUGUAAUGAAAAAUGUUAAGAAUACUCUCUCUAGCACUUUGUCUAACAUUCACCAUAUGAAAUUCAUGUAGAUCUCACUAUUUUACGUGGAUUCAUUUCCAAUAUUCAUGUAAGUCUCUUCACAUUAUGUAGGAUCCAUUUCAAAUGUAUGAUAAUCAUGUAGAUUUUAUCCAAUAAAAGAGUGACCGUUUGAGAGAGUGUUCAUAGUAUUUAUCAUGAUGUAAUAGUAUUUUGGUUAUACAAGUAAUGCUAGUGACACUAUAUUUUGAACACAGUUUCUAAUACUUAAAUUUUUAUUGGUUUAAAUCAUUGUGAGUUUACACUUUCAAAAUCGAAUUCACACAAAAUAG
rnacentral:lncRNA from 1 species